rnacentral:rRNA from 1 species
AAGUCGUAACAAGGUUUCCGUAGGUGAACCUGCGGAAGGAUCAUUCAUAAUAAGUGUUUUAUGGCACUUUUUAAAUCCCUAUCCACCUUGUGUGCAAUGUCAGUUGAUCUUCUUUAUGGAGAUCGACCAAACAUCAACCUAUUUUUUUAACUCUUUGUCUGAAAAAUAUUAUGAAUAAAUAAUUCAAAAUACAACUUUCAACAACGGAUCCCUUGGCUCUCGCAUCGAUGAAGAACGCAGCGAAAUGCGAUACGUAAUGUGAAUUGCAGAAUUCAGUGAAUCAUCGAAUCUUUGAACGCAUAUUGCGCUCUUUGGUAUUCCGAAGAGCAUGCUUGUUUGAGUAUCAGUAAACACCUCAAAGCUUUUGAUUUUUUUUAAAAGUUUUGGACUUGAGCAAUCCCAACACCAGUCUUUUUAAGAUCGGCGGCGGGUUGCUUGAAAUGCAGGUGCAGCUGGACAUUCUCCUGAGCUAAAAGCAUAUUUAUUUAGUCCUCGUCAAACAGGAUUAUUACUUUUGCUGCAGCUAACAUAAAGGAUAAUUGUCCUCUUUGCUGACUGAUGCAGGAUUUUACGACACUUUAUGUGUUGUUCAACUCGAUCUCAAAUCAAGUAAGACUACCCGCUGAACUUAA